UACGUAGGUGGCAAGCGUUAUCCGGAUUUAUUGGGCGUAAAGGGAACGCAGGCGGUCUUUUAAGUCUGAUGUGAAAGCCUUCGGCUUAACCGGAGUAGUGCAUUGGAAACUGGGAGACUUGAGUGCAGAAGAGGAGAGUGGAACUCCAUGUGUAGCGGUGAAAUGCGUAGAUAUAUGGAAGAACGCCAGUGGCGAAGGCGGCUCUCUGGUCUGUAACUGACGCUGAGGUUCGAAAGCGUGGGUAGCAAACAGG
rnacentral:rRNA from 1 species